rnacentral:lncRNA from 1 species
GACAAUUGGUCUACAUCUCAAAUUGAUCCAAAGACCAAAGAUUCCUAAAGCCACUUGAAACUAAAAAUGGCUCCACAAAAAUUCAUCAGAAAUGACAUGAUAAGUUUACCUCGGCUCGUAGAAGAGUAUCUCUCUAUGUUGAAGGAAACAUACGAAGGAACGGGAUUGCACCUAGCCACGCAACAAGGGGACGAGGUAUAUGCAAAGAAAAUAAUCGAGCUCUGCCCUUCCUUAGUCGGUUCCACCAAUUCCAAAGGUGACACUCCUCUUCAUGUUGCUGCUCGUUUGGGAUACACAAGCAUCUUUAUUGGGAUGUUAGAGUCCCUAAAAUUGCAUAACGCAUGCGAGCGAAAAACCAUAGAUGCAGAAAUGAUGAAUAAUGAUGGCUUAACACCUCUGCAUUGUGCGGCAAUGAAGGGUUCUGUUGAAAUCCUUGAGGAAUUUCUCAAUAGGGCUCCCUCUUCUUUCUACUCAGUCACAUUAGAAAAGAGAGAAACUGUGUUUCAUAUAGCUGCGAGACACAAGCAGAACGAAGCCUUCAUCUCAAUGGCAAAGAGUGACAACUUAGGCCAACUUCUCUACCAGCUUGACGUAGACGGCAACACUGUGCUUCACGUUGCCGCCUCCGUAGGCUCUAUUGCGGUAAAUUUUCUGCCUCCCUCUUCUUUCCUUUUUUUGUAUAUUGUGCCUAAUUAGACUCAAAAUGCAAAAUCUUAUAGGAAAUAUAUCUAAAACAUAGUUUUCUUUGUAUAAUAAUUUCAUUUAUCAACCUCAUCUAAAGAGCCAAAUUGCUUUCAGUUUUCCACCUUAAAUUUCACUUCUUUAAUACUACUUGGUAACUGCUUGAUUAUUUAAGGGAACUGCCGAAACACAAAAAUACAAAAGGGAAAAUGAUUGUUUAAUAAUAUAAAUAAGAAGGAAUACUAGCUAAAUGAUUUCAAAGUAAUACUUUCAUACAAAGCUAUAUACUCCAUAUGAUUUGAAAACUUAAAAUAUGAGGUUUUGUUGUUGGUUUCCUGAUUUGAUUAACAUAUUACAUUACAGCUGGUAAACUAUAUAAUGGUGGAGACAAACGUAAAAGUCACCACGAAGAACAAGAACGGUUUUGUAGCGGUUGACCUUCUCAACGAAGAGGAUAAAGAUUUCCUUAAGCUAUCUAACGCUCUGAUGUGCGGUCAACGCUCUUCAAGUCCUAGAGAGAUUGGAAACCAAACAAAAGCAGUGAUUCUUCAUCGUGCAGACGAUGACACGAUAAAGAAGCGCCAGAAGGAGAUUCUAAGAUUUCAAAGCAGUGAUACUCCAAACAAAAAAUUUGAGAUGCAAUUGGAGGCUUUGCAAAGCGCUAGGAAUACUCUCGCCAUUGUCGCGGUCUUGAUUGCAUCUGUUACUUUCACAUGCGGUUUAAACCCACCUGGUGGGGUCUAUCAAGAAGGAUUCUCCAUUGGGAAAUCAACCGCGGGGAAAACCAUAGCUUUCAUGAUCUUCUGGAUAAGCAAUAGCAUAGCGUUGUUUACAUCAGUGAGUAUGGUCAUUCUUCUCCUCAGCAUUAUACCUUACAGGGAGGACUCGCUUUUAAAGUUCUUGGUUAUAGCUCACUGGAUGAUGUGGGUGGCUGUAGCAGCCAUGGCAAGUGCUUAUGUCUCCGCGGCAUUGGUAACUUUACCUCAUUUUGGAGAAACCAAUUGGUUAAUAAUCUAUGCCACUGUUGCUAUUGCUAGCUUGACGCUAGGCGGUAUGUUUGUUUAUCUACGGUUUAAUCUGGCUAAAUGCAUGUUUAGGAAGGUUACGCUUCUUAAAUGCUUGUCUACUCCGCCAGUACGCAAGAAUGGAUACGUAGACAUGGCGGCCAAUAUCGAGAAAGGCUACUACUCUUACUGCUGAAUUUAUGUUUUUAAUAUAUAGGAAUCCAAGUUAUAUGCAUGUUUUUGUAAGUGGUUGACGUUUUUUUUUGUAAAUAGGUGUUUGACGUUUAUAAUUUCCAAUUGUUUAGAUUCGAUGACAUGUGAUAUGUUGUAAGAAAACAAAAAUGAUUACUCUUAUUGCUGAAUUUAUGUUUAAUAGGAAUCCAAGUUAUAUGCAUGUUUGUAUAAGUGAUUGACGUAUAUGAUCUUCCAGUGUUCAAUUUUGGAUGACAUAUGUUGUAAUUUGUAAAAAAAAAAAAGUUUUCACAUAAUACAUGUUAUUUGACCCCAAAACUGAACACAGAAAAAUAGUUUUGAGUUUUCAUGCAAGAUAUUAGAUUGGUAGCUGUACCUUAUCAAGCCGUAGAACUAGGCCCUAAAAGUUUCCAUAAAUAGCAUAAAUCGAUGCAUGCAAAACUUAUUGCAAGGAAAAAAAAGAUGAGGAUUUGGGUGGGGGCGAAUAGAAUAACUGACCAAAAAAUGGGUUGGUAUCGAUAUUAGGGAGGAAAUUAGUCCUCAAAAAGUAAAUUAUGAGGUUGAAGCUCCAAUGUAUUUGUUCCAAGACUUUGUUUAGAGGUAAAGCUAUGUUUUCUUGUAACCACCAAACCAAACAGCUCCUUCUCAUCUAUAAGUUAACUAACAUAUCUGUGCUGCCUUUUCUUUGACUUGUCUUUCUCUCUCCAACUUCCCUCCUUCAACAUAAAGCCAAAUUCUUUCCAAAUCUCCAAACUGAACCGACCUAUACCAAAACGUACUAAACAGAAUCCGGACUAUCGGAUAAUCCAACAACCAUAUGUUGAACUACCGCUUUACUUAACAACAUUCCAAUUGCUUGAUUCGACUACGUAAUCGAAUGGGUAUUUCUGAGUAAACCGGAAAACCCUGAAUAAACCGUAUUCUUUCAACCUGUAACAAACUUAGAAUAAACCGAAUUAGAUUGGUAUUAUUCUAUGCAAUUUUAUGAAAUAAUAUUUCAAAAUAGAUAAGCUUAAGCAUAUUAAUUGGAGCUUGAAGCAAUUGGAUAAAAAAGCAUUUGAACCUUAACUUUUGGACGCAACCCCCCCUCCCCACCACAACUUAUUCGCCUAUGGUUUUUAUAAUAUACUGACAUUCAAUCGUUACGGAGAUCCAAGGUUCAAAAAAAAUAUCAAUAUGUAAAAAUUCAAGAUUGCUUACACGAUCACAUGUUUCAUUAUUUUUCUUAGAAGUUAGAAUGGAAUUGAAUUUAUAAAACGAGAAGUAUCAAACAUUAUUCCCAUAUAUAUAACUAUGUAUUUUUCUAUGCAAUUUUAUGAAUAAUAUUUUAAAAUAUAUAAUUCAAACAUAUACAAAUACGAAUGAUAACUCUACCGUUGACAAUUACUUAAUUAAAUCUUAUACUAAUUCAAUUCUAUGUGUAAACAUAGAAUUCCGUGUCUACACUAUAACAUUUUAUUUCUAUUUGACCAAAUGGUUACUUUUUUUUUUCUGUCACAGACCAAAUGGUUACUUAAAUUUAGAAUAUUAUAAGACUAACCAAUGAAAUUUAAACCAUUUUACAAUCUCUAGCUAAGUGAAUCAUCAUAAUACUCAAACCCAUUAUAGGAUAGAGUUUCUUAUUCGUAGAUAUUCAGAGUGUGAACUGAGCACAUGUCAUAGAUAAGUGACAUUUGCUAUAAGCUAAUAUUUAGUUUAGACUUAAAGAGUAGUUGACAAAAACUACAACUUUGUUUUUAAGUUUUUUUUUCUUAACUAGUGGACCUUGAAUCUAGUGGACCCUAAAAGUGGAAGAAGUAAUUACAUUUCUACAUGUAUAUAUAUUUUUUAAAAAAAACUGAAAUGAAAACUUUAUGCAAGGAUGUCACGUAUAAACCGAACAAUGGUCAAAAUUUUCAUUCAAUAUAUAAAUUAUUAAAAAAUUUACGAAAAGAGUAUGGCUGACUUUAGAGAGCAGUAUAUAAGGGUAAGAGUAUGCAUCUAAUUAACUUAAAACAACAAAGACAAUUGGUCUACUUCUCAAAUUGAUCCAAAGACCAAAGAUUCCUAAAGCCACUUGAAACUAAAAAUGGCUCCACAAAAAUUCAUCAGAAAUGGCAUGACAAGUUUACCUCGGCUCGUAGAAGAGUAUCUCUCUAUGUUGAAGGAAACAUACGAAGGAACGGGAUUGCACCUAGCCACGCAACAAGGGGACGAGGUAUAUGCAAAGAAAAUAAUCGAGCUCUGCCCUUCCUUAGUCGGUUCCACCAAUUCCAAAGGUGACACUCCUCUUCAUGUUGCUGCUCGUUUGGGAUACACAAGCAUCUUUAUUG